rnacentral:rRNA from 1 species
GUAGGCUGAAACUCGCCUACAUGAAGCUGGAGUUACUAGUAAUCGCAGAUCAGAAUGCUGCGGUGAAUGCGUUCCCGGGUCUUGUACACACCGCCCGUCACACCACGGAAGUUGGGGGCGCCCGAAGCCACUUAUCUAACCCUUUUGGGAAGCGAGUGUCGAAGGUGAAAUCAAUAACUGGGGUGAAGUCGUAACAAGGUAAC